UGACAGGUGGUGCAUGGUUGUCGUCAGCUCGUGUCGUGAGAUGUUGGGUUAAGUCCCGCAACGAGCGCAACCCCUACGUUUAGUUGCUAACGCGUGAAGGCGAGCACUCUAGACGAACUGCCGUUGACAAAACGGAGGAAGGUGGGGAUGACGUCAAAUCAUCAUGCCCCUUAUGUUCUGGGCUACACACGUGCUACAAUGGCCGGUACAGACGGACGCAAAGCCGCGAGGUGGAGCAAAUCCUAAAAAGCCGGUCUCAGUUCGGAUUGCAGGCUGCAAUUCGCCUGCAUGAAGUCGGAAUCGCUAGUAAUCGCAGGUCAGCAUACUGCGGUCGAAUACGUUCCCGGGCCUU
rnacentral:rRNA from 1 species